GGGGCUAUAGCUCAGCCUGGGAGAGCGCUUGAAUGGCAUUCAAGAGGUCAGGGGUUCGAGCCCCCUUAGCUCCAC
rnacentral:tRNA from 1 species